AACAGGUGCCUUGUAAAGGGGCUUAAUAGGGAAGACCGGUGAGAGUCCGGCGCGGUCCCGCCACUGUGGCAGGGAGCAGCCCGCACAAUAUCACUGAGGCGGUGAUGCCUUGGGAAGAUGCGGCAAGCGAUGAUCUGGAGCCAGGAGCACUGCCUGUUC
rnacentral:ncRNA from 1 species